UGGGGAAUCUUGCGCAAUGGGCGAAAGCCUGACGCAGCCAUGCCGCGUGAGUGAUGAAGGCCUUAGGGUUGUAAAACUCUUUCACCGGGGACGAUAAUGACGGUACCCGGAGAAGAAGCCCCGGCUAACUUCGUGCCAGCAGCCGAGGUAAUACGAAGGGGGCUAGCGUUGCUCGGAAUUACUGGGCGUAAAGGGCGCGUAGGCGGAUCAGCAAGUUGGGGGUGAAAGCCCGGGGCUCAACCUCGGAAUUGCCUUCAAAACUGCUGAUCUAGAGUACGGGAGAGGUGUGUGGAACUCCGAGUGUAGAGGUGAAAUUCGUNAGAUAUUCGGAAGAACACCAGUGGCGAAGGCGACACACUGGCCCGUUACUGACGCUGANGGCGCGAAAGCGUGGGAGCAAACGGAUUAGAUCCCUGUAGUCCACGCUGUAAACGAUGAUUGCUAGUUGUCGGCAGGCAUGCCUGUCGGUGACGCAGCUAACGCAUUAAGCAAUCCGCCUGGGGAGUACGGUCGCAAGAUUAAAAACUC
rnacentral:rRNA from 1 species